UACGUAGGGUGCAAGCGUUGUCCGGAAUUAUAGGGCGUAAAGAGCUCGUAGGUGGCCUGUCGCGUCGGCUGUGAAAACUCGGGGCUCAACUCCGAGCUUGCAGUCGAUACGGGCAGGCUAGAGUUCGGCAGGGGAGACUGGAAUUCCUGGUGUAGCGGUGAAAUGCGCAGAUAUCAGGAGGAACACCGGUGGCGAAGGCGGGUCUCUGGGCCGAUACUGACACUGAGGAGCGAAAGCGUGGGGAGCGAACAGG
rnacentral:rRNA from 1 species